GAUGAACGCUGGCGGCGUGCCUAAUACAUGCAAGUCGAGCGAACGGACGAGAAGCUUGCUUCUCUGAUGUUAGCGGCGGGCGGGUGAGUAACACGUGGAUAACCUACCUAUAAGACUGGGAUAACUUCGGGAAACCGGAGCUAAUACCGGAUAAUAUUUUGAACCGCAUGGUUCAAAAGUGAAAGACGGUCUUGCUGUCACUUAUAGAUGGAUCCGCGCUGCAUUAGCUAGUUGGUAAGGUAACGGCUUACCAAGGCAACGAUGCAUAGCCGACCUGAGAGGGUGAUCGGCCACACGGGAACUGAGCCACGGUCCAGACUCCUACGGGAGGCAGCAGUAGGGAAUCUUCCGCAAUGGGCGAAAGCCUGACGGAGCAACGCCGCGUGAGUGAUGAAGGUCUUCGGAUCGUAAAACUCUGUUAUUAGGGAAGAACAUAUGUGUAAGUAACUGUGCACAUCUUGACGGUACCUAAUCAGAAAGCCACGGCUAACUACGUG
rnacentral:rRNA from 1 species